CCAACGAGCGGUUGAGGGCCCCAGUUCCUGCCACCUACUGUCAUCUGCUCGUGUGCAUGGAGGGGAGAGGCCCAGCAGCCCCUCACUCUGGGCUUCACUAGAGCUGGGGCAGAGGCAGAAGUGGGGCACCUCCUGCUGGCCCCCCACUUCUUCCCCUGGGCCCAGGCGUGGAGGUGCCUCUCAGGAUGGAGGCCACACCGCGGGAGCUGGCAGUGCGGGAACAGCCAGAUCUCAGGUCCUGGUUCUACUCCUGGGUGUACCCAGAACCUCCACAUCUCUCUCCUCACAGAUCCAGGACCUGCCGGGUUGUGUUGGAAGCCUCCACCAUGAGAUUUCAAAGGUUCUACUGCUUCUGUAUGAAAAGAGAGCCCAAG